rnacentral:rRNA from 1 species
CUCCCUUCCUGCUACGGACAUCCACCAUGGCACCACGGCAAGAGCCCUGCAACGAGCAUCCAUAUCCUUCCUGCUUCAGAGAACGGCCGUGCGCGGUGUCGUCGGAUGUGGGGGUGGUGUGGCCCCUGAGGGUGUUGACCCGUGCGUCGUCGGAGGCGCCGUGCCGACGGGCUUCCAUGGGUGACCACGGCGAUGAGAUGCAACCCACGAUGAGCGGGCGACAAUGUUGGAACCAUCAAUUUUUUUUGCUGAAACCGAAGAAGGCAAAGUUGGAACCAUAGUUGAUUUUUACUACAACCAAAAUCAAAGGGGAACGUGCUGCUGUAUUUUGCUGCAACCGGCAACUCAGAUGCUGAACCGACCAGCUCCAGUGCUGCAACCGGCGAGAGCGACAACAUCCACCGGUGACGGCCGUGUUGCCAUGGCGGCGGUGCCUGCCUUCUUUUGCUGCAACUGACCAGCCCAGGUGCUGGAACCGACGUGCGGAUUUGCUACCAUGCCCGGCAUCUGAAAAAGCUUCAACCGGUGGACGGCAAACCAACGAUGGCGAGCAGCGACGACCGAAGCUGCGAACAGGCCGGAGAUGGGGAUGACGAACGAGCGAAGCUGGAACCGUGGCUUGUUGGAGCUGCAUACUUGGGUGUCUGGGGGACAGUUUUGCUUCAACCUGGGCUGGAGAAAGCUGCAUCCACCUAUGUCCCAGCACGGCGAGCGGCGGCGAACGGCAGCGAGUCGAGGCGCGGUGGUGCUUCGUGGGCGCAGGGGUGUGGAGCUACAUGCGCGCGCGGGCGUAUCUGUUUUUCCUCGUCGCUCGUGGCCAUGAACUACGAGAGAAACAAGGGCGUGAGAGAGAUGACCGAGUCCUCGCGUAAUCCUGUGCGUCGGGGCCAACUGAUCGAACGGAUGCAGG